rnacentral:lncRNA from 1 species
GAAACACACGUCUCAGAUGAACUUGUGACUCUAAAUUGCCCUCAGUGUGUGUGUGCGAGUGCGUGUGUGUCUUACAUUGUUCCGCUGUAUAAAUAUGUAGACAACUGUGGGGAGUUUAGUGCAGUGUAGUUCACACUGUGAUCACUUUGGACAAAGGCGUCAGUGAAAACACUGCAUAAUACACACCGUAUGCUGCUUUGGAGAAAAGUGUCUGCUCAAUGAACAAAUGUACACAUUUAGCAGUGGUUCCUGUCCAACAGGUCAGUCAGUCUGCACAACUGUUGUGGAAGGCGGCCCCGGGAAUGAAAUGCUGCCCUCGGUGUCACCCAGGGACCAAUGGAUGCAGAUGUGACCCUGAUGACGGUAAUCCUGAAGCUCCCCAUCCAUGUCUAGGUGUCCUGUGGGGAAGCCCUACACACCCCCUGAUGGCAGCACACAGGGAAAAGGCCUUGAUCUCCAUUGCUUCAUGUGCGAAAGAGGACGCGGGCUGAACCGGCAGCAGAAGAGGGAGGAGAAGCUGCUUUCUGAUCUGCUGCUACUCGGACGCAACGUGAGGCACCUCCGGGGUCAGCGCAUCGCCUGCAUCAAGACCAAUUCAAAACAGGUGGCAAAGGUCACGUCGCUCUCGAACGCUUUGGUCUCCGUCACCGAAGUAAUGGCUCUCGUCAUCAUAAAGUGGGUCAGAAUGUUCUCUCCCGAGACGGUCCGUGGCUGCAUUAGUUAUGCACGAUCAACAAGGGCGAAGCUGCAUUUCCGCAACAAACUUAAUGAGCGAAGACUGUUUGCUUUCUCUGAAAAGACUAGCAAUGCUGGCAUCUUUUCAUUAUUGGCAUCUUGAGACACUGAUGCACCUGUUUAUGUGGGUCAGCCACGCACACGCAGUGUGUGUCUCGCAGCCCAGACGUCAGCAUUUUGAGCCUGGGCUGUGUCAUUAGCCAACCAGGGGUCCCGUAACGCCGCAACAUAAUUGGGAUCGUUUCCUCGGGGGACAAGGCUUUAAUUUGGAUGGGGUGUCUUGUCUGAGUGUUCAAUUAGUGCCUCCUAGUGACAUAUCAGAC